rnacentral:rRNA from 14 species
AUUCAACCAGGAGGUAGGCCUCAAAGCAGCCAUCCUUUAAAGAAAGCACCACAGCUCACUGGUUCGAAAAAAACCCGCUCCACCUAGUCUAUCUAAUCAAUCAUGCCGCCCAAGU